GACGAACGCUGGCGGCGUGCCUAAUACAUGCAAGUAGAACGCACAGUUUAUACCGUAGCUUGCUACACCAUAGACUGUGAGUUGCGAACGGGUGAGUAACGCGUAGGUAACCUGCCUGGUAGCGGGGGAUAACUAUUGGAAACGAUAGCUAAUACCGCAUAAUAUUAAUUAUUGCAUGAUAAUUAAAUGAAAGGUGCAAUUGCACCACUACCAGAUGGACCUGCGUUGUAUUAGCUAGUAGGUGAGGUAACGGCUCACCUAGGCGACGAUACAUAGCCGACCUGAGAGGGUGAUCGGCCACACUGGGACUGAGACACGGCCCAGACUCCUACGGGAGGCAGCAGUAGGGAAUCUUCGGCAAUGGACGAAAGUCUGACCGAGCAACGCCGCGUGAGUGAAGAAGGUUUUCGGAUCGUAAAGCUCUGUUGUAAGAGAAGAACGGGUGUGAGAGUGGAAAGUUCACACUGUGACGGUAUCUUACCAGAAAGGGACGGCUAACUACGUG
rnacentral:rRNA from 1 species